GCUGGCGUAGCUCAGUUGGUAGAGCAGCUGAUUUGUAAUCAGCGGGUCGGGGGUUCAAAUCCCUUCGCCAGCU
rnacentral:tRNA from 1 species